rnacentral:rRNA from 1 species
UGGGGAAUAUUGGACAAUGGGGGCAACCCUGAUCCAGCAAUGCCGCGUGUGUGAAGAAGGCCUUCGGGUUGUAAAGCACUUUUGUCCGGGAAGAAAUCGCACCUGAUAAUACCGGGUGUGGAUGACGGUACCGGAAGAAUAAGGACCGGCUAACUACGUGCCAGCAGCCGCGGUAAUACGUAGGGUCCAAGCGUUAAUCGGAAUUACUGGGCGUAAAGCGUGCGCAGGCGGUUGUGCAAGACCGAUGUGAAAUCCCCGGGCUUAACCUGGGAAUUGCAUUGGUGACUGCACGGCUAGAGUGUGUCAGAGGGGGGUAGAAUUCCACGUGUAGCAGUGAAAUGCGUAGAUAUGUGGAGGAAUACCGAUGGCGAAGGCAGCCCCCUGGGAUAACACUGACGCUCAUGCACGAAAGCGUGGGGAGCAAACAGG